rnacentral:rRNA from 1 species
CCUACGGGCGGCAGCAGUCGAGAAUCAUUCACAAUGGGGGAAACCCUGAUGGUGCGACGCCGCGUGGGGGAAUGAAGGUCUUCGGAUUGUAAACCCCUGUCAUGUGGGAGCAAAUUAAAAAGAUAGUACCACAAGAGGAAGAGACGGCUAACUCUGUGCCAGCAGCCGCGGUAAUACAGAGGUCUCAAGCGUUGUUCGGAAUCACUGGGCGUAAAGCGUGCGUAGGCUGUUUCGUAAGUCGUGUGUGAAAGGCGAGGGCUCAACCCGCGGACGGCACAUGAGACUGCGAGACUAGAGUAAUGGAGGGGGAACCGGAAUUCUCGGUGUAGCAGUGAAAUGCGUAGAUAUCGAGAGGAACACUCGUGGCGAAGGCGGGUGCCUGGACAUUAACUGACGCUGAGGCACGAAGGCCAGGGGAGCGAAAGGGAUUAGAUACCCCUGUAGUC